rnacentral:tRNA from 1 species
AUGCCCGUAGCUCAGAUGGCAGAGCACCGGUCUCCAAAACCGGGCGUCGCAGGUUCGAACCCUGCCGGGUAUG